rnacentral:rRNA from 1 species
GGUGAACGCUGGCGGCAGGCCUAACACAUGCAAGUCGGACGGUAGCACAGAGAGCUUGCUCUCGGGUGACGAGUGGCGGACGGGUGAGUAAUGUCUGGGGAUCUGCCCGAUAGAGGGGGAUAACCACUGGAAACGGUGGCUAAUACCGCAUAACGUCGCAAGACCAAAGAGGGGGACCUUCGGGCCUCUCACUAUCGGAUGAACCCAGAUGGGAUUAGCUAGUAGGCGGGGUAACGGCCCACCUAGGCGACGAUCCCUAGCUGGUCUGAGAGGAUGACCAGCCACACUGGAACUGAGACACGGUCCAGACUCCUACGGGAGGCAGCGGUGGGGAAUAUUGCACAAUGGGCGCAAGCCUGAUGCAGCCAUGCCGCGUGUAUGAAGAAGGCCUUCGGGUUGUAAAGUACUUUCAGCGGGGAGGAAGGCGAUGUGGUUAAUAACCGCAUUGAUUGACGUUACCCGCAGAAGAAGCACCGGCUAACUCCGUGCCAGCCGCCGCCGUAA